AACGAACGCUGGCGGCAUGCCUAACACAUGCAAGUCGAACGAGACCUUCGGGCCUAGUGGCGCACGGGUGCGUAACGCGUGGGAACCUGCCCUUAGGUUCGGAAUAACUCUCCGAAAGGGGUGCUAAUACCGGAUAAUGUCUUCGGACCAAAGAUUUAUCGCCUUUGGAUGGGCCCGCGUUGGAUUAGCUAGUUGGUAGGGUAAAAGCCUACCAAGGCGACGAUCCAUAGCUGGUCGGAGAGGAUGCACAGCCACACUGGGACUGAGCCACGGCCCAGACGCGAGGGGGAGGCGGCGGUGGGUAAACGAGAGGAGUAGGCGAAACUCAGCGACGCCACGGCGGGGUAGAAAAGCAUCGCAUUGUAGUAGAAAUGCACUUUGACCGGGGCGAUUAUUGACAGUACCGAGAGAAGAAGCUCCGGCUAACUCCGUG
rnacentral:rRNA from 1 species